rnacentral:rRNA from 1 species
CCGUAGGUGAACCUGCGGUAGGUUCAAUAAAGAAUGAAGUAGAGUUGGUUGGAGGUGACCUUCUAGAGUAAGGGCAAGCCUUGUUUUUGAACCACCCACCCCUGGGCCGUUGUGAGACAGGGGCAUUUGUUUUCCUUUAAAUAGGGAAAGGGAAUAAGUUUAAUACAUAAAAUAAAAUUUAUUUAAAACUAAAGGUAAUAGAUGUAACAAAUCUAAUAAUAAGUUUUAACAACGAAGGACUUGUCGGUCGCAUCAAUGAAGAACGCAGCAAAGAGAUGUAAGUAAUGAGAAUUGCAGAAUUCAUUGAAUCAUCGAAGCUUUGAACGCCCCUUGUUGCCCUUGUUGUUCCUCGUAGCAUGCCGGUUUGAGUAUCAUGAAGUAAUCAAAAAAAGUCUUUUGUUAAUUCAAUCGGCUUCGUUUCGUUGUUGGGGGCUUGCAGAUGAACGUCUGCUCCUCUUAAAUACAUUAUCAGGAUCUCCUUGAACUUGGUUCCACUCGUCGUGAUAAGAAUCACUCGCUGAGGACACCCGUAAAAAAGGAGGCCAGGCUGGAGGAUGAGCCGCUGCUAAUAGUCCUUCAGCAUCGUCAAUUAAUUAAUGAUCUGCUGUCAAUCAGGUAGGACUACCCGCUGAACUUAGCAUAUCAUUAGCGGAGGA